rnacentral:rRNA from 1 species
CCUACGGGCGGCAGCAGUGAGGAAUAUUGGUCAAUGGACGAGAGUCUGAACCAGCCAAGUAGCGUGAAGGAUGACUGCCCUAUGGGUUGUAAACUUCUUUUAUAUGGGAAUAAAAUGUUCCACGUGUGGGAUUUUGUAUGUACCAUAUGUAUAAGGAUCGGCUAACUCCGUGCCAUCAGCCGCGGUACUACGGAGGGUACGAGCGUUAUCUGGAUAUAUUGGGUUGAAAGGGAGCGUAGGGGGAUUGUUAAGUCAGUUGUGAAAGGUUGCGGUCUAACCGUAAUAUUGCAGUUGAUACUGGCAGUCUUGAGUACAGUAGAGGUGGGCGGAAUUCGUGGUGUAGCGGUGAAAUGCUUAGAUAUCACGAAGAACUCCGAUUGCGAAGGCAGUUCACUGGACUGCAACUGACACUGAGGCUCGAAAGUGUGGGUAUCAAACAGGAUUAGAUACCCGGGUAGUC